rnacentral:misc_RNA from 1 species
UUUCCGUAGGUGAACCUGCGGAAGGAUCAUUAUUGGAUUUUGAAACUUCAGGCUGCUGCUGGCUCUCCUCGGAGGGCAUGUGCACGCUUGUUGUCCAUUAUUUCUCCCACUGUGCACAAAUUGUAGACCUUUCAGUAGGCCUAUGUUGUUUUUCACAAUCUCUGAAUGUAAUAGAAUGGUUUUGAAUCUUGGGAAAUACAAUACAACUUUCAGCGACGGAUCUCUUGGCUCUC